UACGUAGGGGGCUAACGUUGUCCGGAAUCAUUGGGCGUAAAGCGCGUGUAGGCGGUCCGGUAAGUCCGCUGUGAAAGUCGGGGGGCUCAACCCUCGGAUGCCGGUGGAUACUGUCGGGCUUGAGUACGGAAGAGGCGAGUGGAAUUCCUGGUGUAGCGGUGAAAUGCGCAGAUAUCAGGAGGAACACCAAUUGCGAAGGCAGCUCGCUGGGACGUUAACUGACGCUGAGACGCGAAAGCGUGGGGAGCAAACAGG
rnacentral:rRNA from 1 species